AAUUUGGAAGAAUGUCAAACCCUUCAUUGACUGGCUUCAAAGUGCCGAGUCCGAGUCCGAGGAGGACUGAGAUCACAACUGUCGUUCCUUAAUCCAGACUGUUCUCUGGGGGUUCCUUCUAUCAUCAUCUAGGAUAUAUGCCUGCUUAGCUUGUGACUAUUUGCUAGUUCGGUAUUUUCAUGUUUUCCUUUAUUUUUUGUUUUGCUUGUGUCUGUACUUUCAUACUUGUUGCUACUUCUGUCAUGUGUUCUGUGUCUGUCUUCUUUUUGAUGUUUUAAGGCG
rnacentral:misc_RNA from 1 species